rnacentral:rRNA from 1 species
UACAGAGGUCCCAAGCGUUGUUCGGAUUCAUUGGGCGUAAAGGGUGCGUAGGCGGCGCGGUAAGUCGGGUGUGAAAUCUCGGGGCUUAACUCCGAAACUGCAUUCGAUACUGCCGUGCUUGAGGACUGGAGAGGAGACUGGAAUUUACGGUGUAGCGGUGAAAUGCGUAGAUAUCGUAAGGAAGACCAGUGGCGAAGGCGGUUCUCUGGGCAUGAUCUGACGCUGAGGAGCGAAAGUGUGGGGAGCGAACAGG